rnacentral:rRNA from 1 species
GAUGAACGCUGGCGGCGUGCUUAACACAUGCAAGUCGAACGGAAAGGCCCAAGCUUGCUUGGGUACUCGAGUGGCGAACGGGUGAGUAACACGUGGGUGAUCUGCCCCGCACUUCGGGAUAAGCCUGGGAAACUGGGUCUAAUACCGGAUAGGACAGUGGUUUGGAUGCCAUUGUGGAAAGUUUUUUCGGUGUGGGAUGAGCUCGCGGCCUAUCAGCUUGUUGGUGGGGUAAUGGCCUACCAGGGCGUCGACGGGUAGCCGGCCUGAGAGGGUGUACGGCCACAUUGGGACUGAGAUACGGCCCAGACUCCUACGGGAGGCAGCAGUGGGGAAUAUUGCACAAUGGGCGCAAGCCUGAUGCAGCGACGCCGCGUGGGGGAUGACGGCCUUCGGGUUGUAAACUCCUUUCGCUAGGGACGAAGCGUUAUGUGACGGUACCUAGAGAAGAAGCACCGGCUAACUACGUG